GGAGUUUGGUCCGUGUCUCAGUACCAAUGUGGGGGACCUUCCUCUCAGAACCCCUACUGAUCGUCGCCUCGGUGGGCCGUUACCCCGCCGACAAGCUAAUCAGACGCAUCCCCAUCCCUUAGCGAUAAAUCUUUGGUAUUCGUCAGAUGUCAUCAAAAUACAACAUAGAGUAUUAAUCCGACUUUCGCCGGGCUAUCCUCUACUAAGGGGAAGGUUGGAUACGCGUUACUCACCCGUGCGCCGGUCGCCAGCGGCAAUAGCAAGCUAUCGCCCUGCUGCCCCUCGACUUGCAUGUGUUAAGCCUGUAGCUAGCGUUCAUC
rnacentral:rRNA from 1 species